rnacentral:rRNA from 1 species
UGGGGAAUAUUGCACAAUGGGCGCAAGCCUGAUGCAGCCAUGCCGCGUGUAUGAAGAAGGCCUUCGGGUUGUAAAGUACUUUCAGCGGGGAGGAAGGCGGUGAGGUUAAUAACCUCAUCGAUUGACGUUACCCGCAGAAGAAGCACCGGCUAACUCCGUGCCAGCAGCCGCGGUAAUACGGAGGGUGCAAGCGUUAAUCGGAAUUACUGGGCGUAAAGCGCACGCAGGCGGUCUGUCAAGUCGGAUGUGAAAUCCCCGGGCUCAACCUGGGAACUGCAUUCGAAACUGGCAGGCUAGAGUCUUGUAGAGGGGGGUAGAAUUCCAGGUGUAGCGGUGAAAUGCGUAGAGAUCUGGAGGAAUACCGGUGGCGAAGGCGGCCCCCUGGACAAAGACUGACGCUCAGGUACGAAAGCGUGGGGAGCAAACAGG